GACGAACCGAGCGAACGUUAUUCGGAAUCACUGGGCUUAAAGGGCGCGUAGGCGGGCCGCCAAGUCAGGGGUGAAAGCCCCCAGCUCAACUGGGGAAGUGCCUUUGAUGCUGGCGGUCUCGAGGGGGAUAGGGGCGUGCGGAACUUUCGGUGGAGCGGUGAAAUGCGUAGAUAUCGGAAGGAACACCGGUGGCGAAAGCGGCGCGCUGGAGCCCUUCUGACGCUGAGGCGCGAAAGCCAGGGGAGCGAACGGG
rnacentral:rRNA from 1 species